rnacentral:rRNA from 1 species
UACGUAGGCAGCAAGCGUUGUUCGGAGUUACUGGGCGUAAAGGGUGCGUAGGCGGCUUUUUAAGUCUGGUGUGAAAUCUCCCGGCUCAACUGGGAGGGUGCGCCGGAUACUGAGGGGCUAGAGUGUGGGAGAGGAAAGUGGAAUUCCUGGUGUAGCGGUGAAAUGCGUAGAUAUCGGGAGGAACACCAGUGGCGAAGGCGAUCACCUGGGGUUGUUCUGACGCUGAGGAGCGAAAGCUAGGGGGAGCAAACGGGG